rnacentral:rRNA from 1 species
UACGUAGGGUGCGAGCGUUAAUCGGAAUUACUGGGCGUAAAGUGUGCGCAGGCGGCCGCGCAAGUCGAGUGUGAAAGCCCCGAGCUUAACUUGGGAAUUGCGCUCGAAACUACGUGGCUGGAGUGUGGCAGAGGAAGGUGGAAUUCCAGGUGUAGCGGUGAAAUGCGUAGAGAUCUGGAGGAACACCGAUGGCGAAGGCAGCCUUCUGGGCCAACACUGACGCUCAGGCACGAAAGCGUGGGGAGCAAACAGG